GGCAGUUCUCAGGUGAUGCACCCCGGAAUCAGGCUCCCUCCUCUCUGGUUCCAGGUGUGUCACCCGAGAACCGCA
rfam:Myotis lucifugus cont2.34347, whole genome shotgun sequence.